UACGUAGGGGGCAAGCGUUGUCCGGAAUCAUUGGGCGUAAAGCGCGUGUAGGCGGUCCGGUAAGUCGGCUGUGAAAGUCCAGGGCUCAACCCUGGGAUGCCGGUCGAUACUGCCGGACUAGAGUUCGGAAGAGGCGAGUGGAAUUCCCCGGUGUAGCGGUGAAAUGCGCAGAUAUCGGGAGGAACACCAAUGGCGAAGGCAGCUCGCUGGGACGUUACGUG
rnacentral:rRNA from 1 species